UAUAAGUAUAUCAAUUUAUUUUAAACGAUUAAUUAAUAUUAGUCAGUGUUUGGUUUCUUCACUUGUGAAAAGUGAAGGUAAAUGCUCACAAAAUUUUGAAAGCGAAAGUAGCCAAAUAACUUGUCGCAGGUAUAAGGUCCCAGAUUUGUAUAUAGGUAUAUUUGGGAGCGGAAUAUAAUGUAAAUGUUGAUGGGGGGAAGCAGAUGUUUUCGUGUAUAAUAGAGCAAGUGACGCAGUACAAAGUGAUGCCGCACAAGGCCACUGAGAGUUUAGUAUAUUCCAAAACGUAGAAGAGAGUAGACGUUAUAUUUCAAUAUUUUUGAUUUUGUUUGCAUCAUGGCUACGAGUGGGAAGAAGUGCGUUUUUAACUGUAGCAUGAUCAGUGAAAAAAUUAUAAUUUUCGAAAAAGACAAAUUAAAAAAGUGCCAACAUAUUUCUAAAGUUCGUAUCGCUUUUGAUUUGAAAUAGUGAUAUUGUGUUACCAGAAAUAGUGGACGGUGUCAGUGGUUAUCAUCGACUUUGCUAUAAAGCAUUUACAUCCAUCCAAAAUAAAUAUUUGGAUAAAUAUAACGAGAACAAUCAAUUGGAAGUAGCAAAAUCACCACAAGGCCACACGUCCAUUGAGGCAUCUGCGUCUCCGCAGGCCGAACAUUCGGCAGUGAGUAAUCAAUCCAUAGGGGAUGAUUUUCCGCAAGGUUCCAUAUCUAUUAUUUCACAAUGUGACAAUUCAGCUGAAAAAAAAUGACGAUAACGUUCGGCCGUCUGAUGUAUUCAGUGACAGUCAACUUUCACAUGAACAAUUAGAUGUGGAACGACAACCUGGAAAUUCAAAAUUAAAGAUUGCAGGUAUCUGUUUGUUUUGUAAUCAAGCAAGGAAGAAGCAAGGGCAAACAGCGCUUCUUUUGAUACGAUCUGAAAGUGAAAUUUUAAUUGAAAAAAUUGUCACAAAUGCAACUGCCUUAAAUGACUAUGAAAUAUUAUCGAAAAUCGAGAGAUUAGGGGAUAAUCGUGUUGUUUAUUACCAUAAUACAUGUAAAUUAAUGUAUUUUAAAAAAUACAUAGCGGCUCCGGAGCCAAAACAGUCAGAUUGGCAUAUUGCAAAAACGUUCAUGAGUUAGUUGACAAUGAACUGUAUUCUUUUAUCGCUGAAAAUACGAUAGGAAGGAAGCAAUGCUGAUCUUUGAAAUUUUUAGUACAGUACGCCAAAAGUGCGUUGUAUAAAUUGUUUUCGGAGAAAUAUGAUAGUUUCGAAACUUAAUAACAAGGACCAAAUAUAUUGCCACAAUAUGGAAAAAUGCUCAUAAGAAAAUUCCAUCAUAUUUACGACCAGAAACUUGCGGAUGGAUAUUAGUAGAGGGAAAGUAUACAUUUAAAUGGUUCGACGGACCACAGCUGCCUAGUACAAUACAAGAUAUUAUUGAUCCUGGAACAAACGAAGGCGAUGAAGACGUUAAUGCAGAAAGCGAAUCAAAUGAAGAUGAAUAUAGCGAUAGCGAAGGAGAUAUCACGUCCGAAUCAGAUUCCGAUUGCGAAUGUGACUAAUAAUGUUGAUGUGUAGCGCACUUUUUAACGUCGUCUGCCGCGGCCUUAGCCCUCACUUUUUUGUCUGCCAUUUUGUAAAUGACUUUUGGAAUGUUUAAACUUUAAAAUACAAUAAUUGGAAUUCAUGUACCUUAUGCUUUUUUUUUAAUUAAUUUUUGCAAUCUUCAGCGCAGUUUGCCGGCGAGUUAGCUCCUCGCAAAAUGUCUGCCAAUUUUUUUACACUUUCUCAAAUAUAUAACCAAAUUUUUCCCGUACAUAGAAUCCCUGUACCUUAUGAAUUUUUUCCCACCCAAAAUUCACCCCUUUCACUGCGUAUCCCCCCUUUGCGCCCCAGUUUUGCAAUGGCAGACAUUCAUUUUUAUAUUCGUCUACACUAAUACUAUUAUUUUCAAUAUAAAUUAGCCAUGUACCUGAUGCGGGCACUUUCAUGUAGCCAGCUCUUAGACUAUUAUUAAGGUAUUUGUUUAUUUAUUACGCCCAGCCAUUGUUUUGUAUUAAAACAAAAAUUAUUUUCAUAGAACUUUCUCAACGAAUUACUUACAUUUUGUACCAUACAAAAAAAAAAGUUUGCAUA